rnacentral:rRNA from 1 species
UACGUAGGUGACCAGCGUUGUCCGGAUUUACUGGGCGUAAAGAGCGCGCAGGCGGUCGUUCAAGUCGAGUGUGAAAGCCCCCGGCUCAACUGGGGAGGGUCAUUCGAUACUGAUCGACUCGAAGGCAGGAGAGGGGUGUGGAAUUCCCGGUGUAGCAGUGAAAUGCGUAGAUAUCGGGAGGAACAUCUGUGGCGAAGGCGACACCCUGGACCAGCACUGACACUGAGGCACGAAAGCGUGGGGAGCAAACAGG